CAUUGUGGGCCAAGUUACUUUUCGGCCAUAUUUAUGUGGGACUUUUGCGAAGGAUGGCUUGUUGUUAUUUAAUAUUUUGUACCCUAUCAAAGCCUCUCUGUUGAUAUCGAGCAGAGCACACCACCUGAGCUGUGGAUGAUGUGACAGGGAGGGCGACAGGGAUGGAGGCAAUCACGGACAGUGACCGGCUACAACGACUCCGGGAACUGGAAGCUCAUUUAAGAGACCCACGAGGAGUUAUCAAUGUGGACUCACUGUUGGAUGCGGUUCAGGCGAUGGUCGCAGACUGCGACCAUCAGGCCAUCAAGAGAAACAAAAAUGUGGAGGCCUUCCUUAAUAGAUAUCGGGAGUCCAUACAGGAUGUGGAGCUGUUACGGAUGCGGGCCGAUGAUUUUACAAAUGUCAAAGUCAUAGGAAGAGGAGCCUUUGGAGAAGUACAGCUUGUAAGACACAGAUCCACUCAAAAGGUGUAUGCAAUGAAGCUCCUGAGUAAAUUUGAAAUGAUAAAACGUUCAGAUUCAGCAUUCUUCUGGGAGGAACGAGACAUUAUGGCUCAUGCUAAUUCAGAGUGGAUAGUGCAGCUCCACUUUGCCUUUCAAGACUCAAAGUUUUUGUACAUGGUAAUGGAUUAUAUGCCAGGUGGUGAUCUAGUGAACCUUAUGUCCAACUAUGAUGUCCCAGAAAAAUGGGCAAAGUUCUUUUGUGCAGAGGUAGUUUUGGCACUUGAUGCAAUCCACUCCAUGGGUUUUGUACACAGAGAUGUGAAGCCAGAUAACAUGCUCCUGGACAGCAGUGGACAUCUUAAGCUGGCUGAUUUUGGUACCUGUAUGAAGAUGAACAAGGAUGGAUUGGUAAGAUCUGACACAGCUGUUGGAACUCCAGACUACAUAUCUCCAGAAGUCCUCAAAUCUCAGGGUGGUGAAGGUGUGUAUGGCCGUGAGUGUGACUGGUGGUCUGUCGGGGUCUUCCUGUACGAGAUGCUUGUGGGAGACACUCCAUUCUAUGCUGACUCUCUAGUUGGGACCUAUGGAAAAAUCAUGGACCACAAAAAUUCCCUCAAGUUUCCAGAAGACAUUGAGAUAUCUGCUGAAGCCAAGAGUCUCAUAUGUGGCUUUCUGACUGAUCGGGAGACACGAUUAGGUGGGAAAGGCGUGGAUGAAAUCAAGCAGCAUCGGUUUUUCAUAAAUGACCAGUGGACUUUUGACACCAUAAGGGAAUGUGUGCCUCCAGUUGUACCAGAUCUAACGAGUGAUGAUGACACCAGUAACUUUGAUGAAGUGGAGAAUGAGGACACACCAGAGGAAAGCUUUACUGUCCCCAAGGCUUUUGUUGGGAACCACCUUCCUUUUGUGGGGUUUACUUACUCCAAAGAUUAUAGACUGCUAAGUUCACCAGAUAAACCAGAUGGGAAAAGAAAUUUGACCAAUGAUGGUUCAGAAGCCAGUCAUCAAAUAGCUGUUCUGAGUGCUGAAGUAGAACACCAGAAGAACCAGGUGGAAGAGCUUGAUGGAAAGUACAGAGUGACACUGAGUCAGCUGGAUGCCCUCACUCGCAGAGAUCAGGAGAGGCAGCAUGAGAAGAGGGACCUGGAGAAAAGACUUGCACUGCUGCAACAUGAUUUGAAGGAAGCCCAGAGGAAGGCAGACUAUGAGAGUGAUAGCCGCAAGAAGCUUGAUGGUUUGUACCAGGAGGUGAAGAAGAAGCUUGAAGAUGAACAGAAUAAAAGAACACGAGAUCAUAAUUCAGCAAUUGCUGUUAAUGAAAAGCUUUAUGGCCUGGAAAAACAGUUGAAAGAAGUGCAGGACAAAUUAAAGUCAGAAUCAGAUAACCACUCAAGACUUCGCAAGCAACAUGCUGAGCUUGUGGUAACCAGCCAGAGAAAAGAGGUGUCUCUAACAGAAUACACAGAGAAGUUUGCAACAGUUCAGGCAAUGAGGGACGGUCUGGAGCGAGACUUGGUCAACUUGCAGACGCAGCUUGAUCAAGAAAGAACACACAAAAAUCAUCAAGCUGACCUUGUAACCCAGGCAGAAAGCAAAGUUCAAGCUUUGCAAGCCAAGCUUGAUAGUGCUUUUGAGAGGGAAGCAGUUGCUCGCAAGGAAGCUGAGAAGGUUUCUGAAAGACUUGUGCAGCUGGAAAAAGACAGAAAUUCCUUGGAGUUGGAGCUUAGGGGCAUGACAAGUCGGUAUGAGCAGGAAGCAAGAGCAUUGCGUGAAGCCAGCAGUGCUGCUCCUACUCACAAUUAUCAGUCCAGUGCUCAGGCCCUUGCAGCCCUGCAAGAACGUUUGAAUGCAGAAAAACAGAAGCGUCAACAAGCAGAGGCAUCUAGUCAAGAAAAGGAACGCCAAAAUUCAAUGUUGAGUGUUGAUUACAGACAGCUGCAGCAGCAACUUCACAAGUUGGAAGGAGAAUAUAGACAAGAGUGUGAAAAGGUGAAAGCCUUGCAGAAACAGUUAGAGUCAGAGACAGAAAAGAGAACAUCUCUAGCCAGUGAUCUUCAGGCUCAGAUGUCAGAGCUUUCCCUCAUGCGGACAAGGGAAAAAUUACUUGUACGAGACCUGGAGGAGGCAAAAGAGGCACGUUCCAGUUUAGAAAAAGAGCUGCAUAAACUUGAGGCACAGAAGUCUGUUGAUGAUGUGCAGAUGAAGGAGCUGAAUGACACUCUGGAAGCUGAACAGUACUUCUCUACACUCUAUAAGACUCAAGUAAGAGAGCUACGUGAGGAGGUAGAUGAAAAGAGCAGACAAGUUGUUGAACUAGAAGAGGAACGCACCAGUCUCACUCAUCAACUACAGCUAGCAGUAGGAAGAGCCGACUCAGAAGCUCUUGCUCGCUCCAUUGCUGAGGAAACUGUUGCAGAACUAGAAAAGGAGAAGACUGUAAAAGAGCUGGAAAUCAAUGAUCUCAUCUCCAGACAUUCUGCAGAGGUUGCAGAGAAGGAUUCUGCUCUAAAUGCUGUGAAGGAGCGUGAACAGGAACUGAGCAAGUCAUUAGAGACACUGAAGCAAGAAAAGGAUUCCCUCAAUUCUCAAAUUCAGAUGCUGGAAGAUGAGAAAAAGAAAGCAAACAAUGAACGUCAAGAUAAACUGGACAAAUUAGAUAGGCAGCUGAAGACAGAACAGCUCUUGAAGAUGCAAGCCGUCAACAAACUGGCUGAAAUAAUGGCUCGCAGAGAAAACCUUCCUGCUAAUCGGAAACCAAAGGCAUCUGCAAGUGACUUGAGAAGGAAGGAGAAGGAAUGUAGAAAAUUACAGCAGGAAUUAACUUUGGAACGUGAUAAGUUCUCCCAGACGGUGGUGAAACAUCAGAAGGAAGUGCAGGAUCUUCAAGCCCUUCUGUAUGAAGAAAACCAAGCAAGAGUGAGAUUCCAAAUGGAGGUUGAUUCCAAGGAUUCUGAAAUUGAAUCUCUCCACCGCACAAUUGCAAACCUCAAUAGUGAAACUGCUUCACUUAGCAGUGGAGCUGAUAAUGAUAUUGAUGAAUUAGAUUCCCGGUUAGAGGGUUGGCUUUCCAUUCCUAAUAAACAAAACAUAAAGCGACAUGGCUGGCGGCGGCAGUAUGUGGUGGUAUCUUCAAGAAAAAUAAUUUUCUACAACUCAGAAAAUGAUAAACAGAACUCUGAUCCAGUUCUCAUUCUGGACUUAACAAAAGUCUUCCAUGUUCGGUCAGUAACACAAGGUGAUGUUAUAAGAGCCGAAGUUAAAGACAUCCCCAGAAUAUUCCAGUUACUGUACGCUGGAGAAGGAGAAAGUCGAAAACCUGGUGAUACCCCUGGUCCCCUGCCUCUACAUGAGAGUACAGGACCAGAUAAGGCAGGUACUCUAGUCCACAAAGGCCAUGAAUUCUUGGCCAUAACCUUUCAUAUGCCUACAAAUUGUGAAGUCUGUCAGCGACACCUCUGGCACAUGUUCAAGCCACCACCAGCCCUCGAGUGCAAACGUUGCCGAUUCAAGAUCCAUAGGGAUCAUCUGGAUCGGAAAGAGGAUGUGGUUGCCCCUUGUAAAGUUAACUAUGACAUGAACGCUGCCAAGGAGCUGUUGCUGUUGGCUUCCUCAGUUGAAUCACAACAGAAUUGGGUCACAAGAUUAUCCAAGAAGAUUCAGAAGUCCGGGUACAAGGCCCAGCACACCACUAGUUCUGAUGGUGCCAAAGUUUCCCCAAGAAUGUAAAAGCCUUUAGGACUAGCUGCUUCCAGCAACACGUAUAUGAGGAACAUUUACCAUUACCAAGAGAAUCAACGAGAUCGUCUUACCGGCCAUAUGUUGUACAGAAGUCUGCAACUUUGCCCCCCAACUCCAAUUUGAUUAGAAAAUAAGAGGUUUGAUUUCUUAUAUAGAAAAUAUUAUUGUGACUUAGGAUUUCCAUUUCUAUUUCUAGAUAAUCUUAUCACUUUUUUUCUUUUGAAAUGAUUUAUUUCAAUCAUUUUGGGAAAAAUAAUAAUUCAUCUUUUGCUCCAGAAACACUAAAAGAUUAAAAGAAAGUAACAUUUACUUUGGGUACUGUGUAAACCAGGAACCUUUAUUGCAGCAAUAUGUUAGCUUCCUGGGGACUUGUGCCUUAUGAAAUCCUGAACCUACCUUCCUUCCUUCCUCUAUGUACAUUACUCUGUGUAGGGACUAGGAAAGUGUCCCAUGGUGACACAGUUACAAUAAUAUUUUUGUGAAACACAUCAAUAAAUGUGAAUAAGAUUUUUUUGGUACAAGCCAAUUUUAUAUGUUUAUAGACUGUAAUACGUUAAUGCUUCCAGUGUACAUGUAUAAGUUUCCUUCUUUAUCGUCCAUUACGGUUAGACUUGUAUUAUCGAUGCAAACAUCAAGGAAUUGCAUUUGUGAUUUAUGUGUGAUUGACAAAAUGUUUAGCUGUAUGCUGUUCAGUCAAGGUGGUUCAUAAUGUUAAUGAUUAAGUUGUGCAACACCUUGGUCACUUGACAGUUAAAUGCCAUUUGUGUAAGUCUGAUUUUGAAUGGAGAGAAGUGGGGCACACCUUGAUGAACUGUGUUGCGGCUAAGUGUAUUUUGUACAUAAUGAUUCAUAAGAGUGGCUGUGUGAAUGUGUGAUGAAGUCAAAAAUGUUGAGGAAGGCUAAGAAUUUUAAGGGAUAUUUCAUAACUGAAUGUCAUACUGAUAAGCCCAGAAACUGAAAUGAUUAAUUAACAAAUUAAAUUUGGUCCAGAUCUUUGAAAUUUAAUUGAAAUGAAUAGUUUGCAUGUUUAUUGUUGUUCCUUAUUUUGUUCAUUAUUGUCCAGGUUGCCCAAAUUAGAAAAAGCCUCCAAAAUUAUGACUCUUCAGCAUCUCAACCACAUAAUUGGUUAUUAGCAUUGCAGUGAAGUGUGAGGUACAAUUACCAUUUAUAUGAAAAAUGGGUCUAGUCUGAAUUGGUGUGGAAAAUAUGAUAAUUAAUUUUCAUUAAAUCUUUCUCAUCCCCUCCUAUUAUGACUUCAUAGACACUUGAUCUACUAACAUAGCUCUCAAUGUAACCAUCUCUCUUGAUGAUGAAUUAAGUAUGAUGAUAUGCAUGGUGAUAAUACAGUUCAUAUAUUCCACAUUAAUCAUGAAGCUUUUUCCUUCUAACAGGACAUUUCAGGAUUUAUCAGUGAAACAAAUUUUUGCUGCAUCUGUUAUAAAGUUAAACAAAAUUAUUUAAAUAAUAUGAUAUCUUUUUAAAUUAUUUAUUUCAUCCCAGUUCAUGAUUCCCAAGUGGCCAUUUCUUAUAUUUCUGUCUCUUUUAUGAGACUAUUUUCUUUUUCAAGACAAAGCAAGAUAAAAAAUAUCAAGGAAACUAGAUAAAUACCAGAUAUGCAUGAAAAAUUUAUUUUCUUAUAAACACAUAUCAGAAUUUGUAUGAAUUUGACAUAACCUGGAGGAUCCUGUUUUUACCAAGAACUGAAGAGUAGUGAGCUUGGUGAGAGGGAAGUGAUAUGUUUGACAAUGUAAAAUUCUUUGAAUGAGGCUGUUCCUAACAUUGCUCAAUUAAUGUCCUAUCCUUGUAAUUUGUCAUAUAUGUCAGCAGAACAAACUAAACUAUAACUGAACCUUUGUCUCGCUCAUUCGUGUCACCAAGAAUGCCUUGAUUACCAUUUGUUGAGCUUCCAUAGCAUAGUAUAUGCAGAAUUAUUUCAGCUUUGACAUUGUGUAACUUUUUGCAUAUAACAGUGGAAAUCAUCUGGUCUCAGGUAUUGGAAUCAAAGCAACUCAGUGUUUGAAAUUUCACAUGCUCUUUUCUCCUGUCAAAAACAAAAAUUUUUUAUAUAUUAUUUAUUUAUUUACAUUUAUUUAAAGAAAUGGUUUGCAGAAUGCCUAUUGGGCAUAUCAAAUAAUGAUAUAUCUUGACCAAUCUAGUGUUCUGUGUUGGUAAGGUUGAUGUGUUCCUGGGUUAUUUUAGAUUCACUAAUAAUAUAUUGAUACUUUGGAAAAAAAUUGUUUUAGGUACUCGAGUUGUUUGUACCUACAUCAAAAGUGAUACUUAACUACAAAUUUAUAGACAGAUAAAUCAAAACAAUUGCUCAUAAAUCAUGAAGUGAAGCAGCUGAGUGUUUAUGAAAAUCAUUGUUAUUAUCCAUAACGUUAGCAUUGUGGAGUAAUUUUCAAAUCCCUAUAGAGCUAUGCAUACAUCCACACCAAAUGCAGUAUUUUUUUGUAUGCAUAUAUUUAUUUGGAAAAAAAUCUCGAUAAUGUAAAUUGUACAGUAUAAACAGAAAUUAUGUUUAUCAGUAGCCACCCAAAAUCAUUUCAAAACAAGUUCAGGAAGUAUACCUCAGGAUUGUGUUCACAGCUACAUUUUUUUUCUUUCUGUUUAAAACCAUAAUUGUAAUUUGAUUUUUAAAAGAUCAAGCCCAGUAAAAGAUAUUGAAGCAGAUUCUGUUAUGGACCAGUAUGGUUUCUUCAUAAUGAAUAAUUGCAUGAAGUUAAAAAUAACAAAAAUUGAAAUUUCAGGAAAAGCAGCACUUAAUUUGCAUGUUAAGAACUUAUAUCUUUAUAUUUAGCAAAACUGUGAAUUAAUUUUACUGAUCCACAAUCAAUCGAAAUUCAUAGGUGCUAAGUUGGUGGAUGAAAGGGUUCUGCUAUAUACUUAUAUGUACCAAUGGAAAGUAAGUGCAUUGUGUGGCAUCAUGUCAGCAGUGGCUUAUGAGAUGACUCUAGACUGAGCUUGGCUCAAGCUUGACACCAGUUUGUGGGAAUACUUGAGGGUAGAGCUUAUGCCUAUUGAAAGCAGAAUCUCAUGAGCAGAGCUAAGGUAUGUGAAGUAUGUGCCUGACAAAACCUCAACUAAAGCAGUUUGUCAAUAAAACAAAUUGUGUGUGUCACAAUGCCUGGUAGGCUUGAGGCAAAUCUACACAUCUUGUCAUUAAGUACAUAAGUACAUGUAUAUGGAAAUUAUAGAAUUAUAACAUUCCUUGUUUUUCACUAUGGACUGUACCAUGUUGCGUUGCAUUUGUAUGUUUUUGUAUGCAAAUGUAGAUACUUUAUGGCUAUAAUAUGGUACUUUGGGAUGUGUGGAGUUCAUCCUUGUUUAAUCUGUUGAUAUAAGUAUUCAUUAUAUGCAAAUUUGCAGUAUGCAUGGGUUAUCUUGAGUGUAGCCCACACACACACACAUUAGAAGCCACUGAUGUAGUUAAUUAAUGCAACAUGGUAAAGCAAAAGAAGACAAUAAUAAUGAAGUGAACUUCAUUAAGAUUAAAGCUGACAAAAUGAUGUAAAACAUACAGAGCAUGAGUAGUUUUUCAGCAGGUGUGAGGGACUGGUAAUGUUAAAAGUGAUCUCAGAGGAUAGGAUUUCCAGCUCAGCAUAUGGAAGGUAAGAAACUGGAGUUUUCAGAGUUUCAAUAAAAGAAUCACAUUAUUAUGAUAAAAUCUGAACUUGUAACAACCUAAUAGGUACAGAUGCCCUAAAGAGACCCUACAUUCAGAAUAACAUGAUGCCUAAUAUAUAUUGAUAAUAUAUGAGAUGCAGACAUCCUGAAAGCACUGUAAUAUUAAAUUUUUAUUGUUUUUAUGUUUAUACUAUUUACUGUUAUCAUUGCAGAUAUAUUAUUUUUCAUAUACAAAAAAUCCAUUUGUGCAUAUAACUCAGCUUUUUGCUUAAUGAUCACUGUUAAUAAUCUUAGCAUUGAGAUCUAUUUUACUAUUUAACAUUAGUCUACUGCUGUAAAACCAUAAAUUUAUUACCUUUUCAUAAAUCCAUAACUAUGCAUGGCAGCAAAUCUGGAAAUGCAAAAAGAGAAAAUACAUUAAUUUUACCAAUUAUAGGUCUACUUUCCAUACUGUAUAUUGUUGAUUGUGUAUCUUUAUAGUAAUAAGGUUUCCUUAAAUUGUUUCUUAAAGGAAUAAAGUAAUUUUGAUACAAAAUUUUUUGUAUAUAAAUUUAAUGAAAAUGUAUAAUUAUGUAUUUAUGUAUGUUAAGUGUGCCAAGUUGCUCAGUUCAUGAAAUAACACAUGUGCUGUUCUUAGCUACAAUGUUUGUACUUUUACAACAGAAUCCCUCAGCCUCUAAAGCCCUUGCAGUUUCACUGAGCAGUAGAUAUUGUUAUGGCUUCAGUUUCAUACAAAGUAAUGAUCACUCAUGUCAGCUCAAAGUUCUUAAUUAUUUUGAUGCCAGUAACAUGAAGACAAAAGCCUAGAUAAAAAUUUGAAAAACUUAAUUGGUUUUGUUUUAACUUGUGCAGCAUCGAUAAUAUGUUAUGUGCUAACUUUAUGAAAUGCACUGUUUAUCAACAAUGUAUACUAUUAUCACUUUGUUUUCUUUGUAACAGGAUGCUAAUUUGGAAUUUGGAGCAGUGCAUCAUCUUUCCCUCCUGGCACCCUAAUCCACCACUACCCUCAUCUCAUUGUUUUGCCUCACCACACCUUUUAACACCAAACUCCAGCCUAGAGCCUUACAGUACUCCACUGUUCUCUUUGGUCAUACUUCCACACCCCUCACACUUCAAUAUCAUCACUCUUACCUUCCUUUUCUGUCUUUUUCCAUCAUCCCUUGUGUGCAAGAAAAAAUGUACAACUUUGCUAUUAGCAUCAGUUUUGCACCACUAGCAGAUGCUGGAAAAUUAGUAAUGCAAUUAUUACAAUAUUGUGUAGUUUAUUCCAUAAUGUGUAAUAGUUAGUUGGAAGACAUACCUGAUAAGUGAGGGAGGCAUUAUGAAUGAUUUGUGGGGCUCACCAGAGGGUUCUUGUCACUGUCUACUUCCCCUUCUGUACACCGUAUGGCAGGAGUAUAAGUAUUUCUGCAGUGGCUUUUCACAAGAUUUAGUGUAUCUAGUUUCUGCUAAACUAAAGAUUACAGAAUCUGGCUGGGUACCAGUGUACUGAUAUAGGCUGAUGCUGCACAGGUUAAUGAAAUCCAUCCUCCACAAACCUCUUUCAAUACUGAAGAAUGUUUUUUCCACUGAUUUUCCCUUAAAAAAAAGAAAAAAAAAAGAUAAACAAUAAAUAAAUAAUUAUAAUAAUAAAGUAAAAAAUACAUGUAAACCAAUCUACUAUAGACUGCUAACUAAUGCAUAUCCACAGACGCUGCAGUGAGUCCUUGCUUUCAUAAUGGGUUUGGUGUCAAUCCCAUGGCCAGUUGUAUGAAAUCUCAGUAUGGGGAACUUUCUUACAUAAGUUUCUGUUUCAUUGUGUGUGUGUGUGUGUGUGUGUGUGUAUUUGCGUGCGUGCAUGCAAGCAUAUGAGUGUGUGCAUGUGUGCAUUAUAUGUGUCUCUGCAAACACAUAUAAUACAUUACGGGAACAUUUACCAUAAUUUUGUUUGGAAAUUACAAAUCUGUGAUCUCAAAAUUAAUUUCAGAAAUUUCCCAACUUAAUAUUAUUUGUCUAAGAUGUCCCAGACAACAGAUUUUAAAUGUGUGUUUGUAUAUUUUAUAUAAAAAAAACCAGCUCACUGUUGGUCCAGCACAUGCCAUAUUCAGUGAAAUAUUUAUAUUUUGAAGAAAUUAGAGUUUUAUAAAUUAUUUUGCUGUUCUAGUGAAAAAUUUGAUGUAUUUUCUGCUCUAUGUGUUUGUUGAUCAUUAGAUUUUAACAAUAAUAGAAUGAUUGUGCUAGAGGGACAUGUUUUAGACAGUAUUGAACUUUUUUUAAAGCUAUUGUUGCUAGAAACAUAAAAUUCAUCUAUCAGGAUCACAUACACAGUAGCUUCAUAAAAGAAUCUAUUAUUCCAGGCUAUUGACGUGCAUUUUUUAUUGUAAUAAAAAUCCUUCUAAUAUAUUUUAUUAUUUUAUUUUUUUUUAUACUACUUUGAUCAAAUAUCAUGAAGUACGUUAUAAGAUUUUUACUUGUAGUGUCUUGUGUUAAAUAAAAGCUUUGUAUAUGGCUUGUAUAAUACUGAAACUUUUGUAACAAAAGUUAGAUAACACUCAGUGACUAGCAUUUAAGGGAGACAAUCCCAAUUCCAGCCUGUUGCCUCAGUAUUCAGAAAUGGUCACCACCACUAUAGGGUUACCAUUGUUAUAGUUAUUGUGAGGUUUGCUGCAGUGAAACUCAAAAUAGGUUUUUCUCUUUACAUAUAUGACAUAGCUAUUUAUAUAUGCCUACCAUAGCUGUAGUUACACAAAUUGCCUUGCAUGUUACAGAGUCAUUAUGUAGCAAGUGAAUGUUGAAAUGUUUUGUUCAUUCAUGGUCCAUAUUGUUCUUCUCAUUGUAAAAUAACAUUUUAUGGCAGCAGGCAGGAUCCCCUUAGUGCCUGAGGACACCGUGUGAUUAUUAAUGCUUUGCAACAUCACAGCUCUGCAGAAAUAUUCUUGAAAGCUUGAUGUUUGUUCAUAUUAAUUGGCUUCACCUAUGUGCCAAUUUCUUGUCAUCACUAUUAAUAUAAUGUACUUUUCUUGAUUUCAAUUCCUUUAUUUUUUAUGAACAGUACUUUCAAGCAGGCAGUGAUUCACCCAUAUAUUACCAUUCAUGCAUUAUACAACAUUGUGCAUUUUUAGAUGUGCUGCAUUGCUGUGGAGCUGUGAAGUUUGACCAAUGCACAGCUAUCCUGGCCACCUCAUGAGGAGGUGAGCAGGUGAACACCCCAGCAGAGUGAAGGUUGUGUCAGCUGUUGUGUACAAACAUAGGUUUACCCCACUCCAGGACAGAUCCCUUGUGGGCAUGUGGCAGACCUGUCAUUUGCUUGCAUUCAAUGGACCAUAAAGCUGAGAUUUUUUCCAAAUGUUAGACAUCUCAAGUAUAGUCAAUCAGUCCAAAAUCUAUGAAAUACAUCUCUGUAGAAGUUUUAGUGGCCAUGUUAUCAUUACAAGAAUGAAUAGUGAAACUAGAAAUUAAGGUCAUUUUGAAGAUUGUUCCCAUUAAAGGAACAUCUCAGUCAGCCACAUGCCAAUAAGCUAUGAAAUGAGGUCCUCAGGUUGUUUCCUGCACUAAAAGAUUUAGCUGUGGCUUGUCUACACAUCAUGGUGGGGUCAGGAUGGCUCUCUACUUUUUAUUCCAUGUGUUUCUUUUUUAUGAUGUGUUGGAGUUAACAUGUACAAUUCAGUCACUAUUACAUUGUUCCUUAUUAUUACAUAUAAUUACUGUAAAGUUAAUAAAAGACAUGAACUUA